AUCUAAUAGACCAUUUCAUUAAAAAAAUACUUUUUAUUCUAAAAUACCCCAACAUUCUGUACAGGCUAUAGCUAAACCCAUUUCAUUCCCAAAAUCCCCAAAUUCCAAAAGGCUUCAAUCUCUCUUUCGACAUCCGGCAAUUUGAUAUUCACACAAUUGAUAUGAAGCACCAUCAAUUUCUCUGAAGCUUCAUCUUCUUCGUCUUAGAUUUUGUCGUUUGCAUCUCCGUCUUCUUCAUCCGCCAUCAAUUUUCUCAACCCUUUGCCACCUCCUCAAGUGUGUGAGCACUACCACAAAUUUGCAAUUUGUCAGCUUGAAGGUCCAAUUGAAGAUUUGGAAUAUGCUUUGUUCCGGAAGUCAGAUUAUGGAAAGAGUUCACCUGCAGGUUUGAAGAAAAUAGAUAAGGAGCUGAUUUUGAAGAACGAAAAUGCUAAAUAGAGUUGGUAGCAGAUUGGUAGCUGAACAACAUCAUGAUGAAGAAGCACGACCCUACAUUCAACAAUUAAUGAAAACCCAGAGCUGCUAUCCACUCCAAACAUCUGAGGAUAACAAUUCUAUUGACACUGUUGUUGAGCUGAACAAUGAGCCAGGUUAUUUCUUAAAACUUGAAUUUAUAGAUUAUCUGCAUAAUAAGAUCUAAAUACAUGAUAAUGUAUCUAGUACUAGUUGCAUUUUGCAAACUUAUGUGAGUAUGUAUUCUCUCUGGUUUGCUUGAUUGUUGUAGUAUUGAUGUCUGUUUUCUCUCUCUGAAGUGUUUUUCUGCUGGUUAUAUCCUUUUGAUAUGUUGUAUUGUCC